rnacentral:rRNA from 1 species
CAGCAGCCACGGGAAUACGGAGGGUGCAAGCGUUAUCCGGAUUCACUGGGUUUAAAGGGUGCGUAGGCGGAUCUGUAAGUCAGUGGUGAAAUCUCCAGGCUUAACCUGGAAACUGCCGUUGAUACUAUAGGUCUUGAAUAUUGUGGAGGUUAGCGGAAUAUGUCAUGUAGCGGUGAAAUGCAUAGAUAUGACAUAGAACACCAAUUGCGAAGGCAGCUGGCUACACAACUAUUGACGCUGAGGCACGAAAGCGUGGGGAUCAAACAGGAUUAGAUACCCCGGUAGUCCCUGUCUCUUAUAC